UACGGGGGGGGCAAGCGUUGUUCGGAAUUACUGGGCGUAAAGGGCUCGUAGGUGGCCAACUAAGUCGGACGUGAAAUCCCUCGGCUUAACCGGGGAACUGCGUCCGAUACUGGUUGGCUUGAGUUUGGGAGAGGGAUGCGGAAUUCCAGGUGUAGCGGUGAAAUGCGUAGAGAUCGGGAGGAACAUCCGUGGCGAAGGCGGCCAUCUGGAUCAACACUGACGCUGAGGCACGAAAGCGUGGGGAGCAAACAGG
rnacentral:rRNA from 1 species